GACGAACGCUGGCGGCGUGCUUAACACAUGCAAGUCGAACGGAAAGGCCCUGCUUUUGUGGGGUGCUCGAGUGGCGAACGGGUGAGUAACACGUGAGUAACCUGCCCUUGACUUUGGGAUAACUUCAGGAAACCGGGGCUAAUACCGGAUAGGAGCUCCUGCUGCAUGGUGGGGGUUGGAAAGUUUCGGCGGUUGGGGAUGGACUCGCGGCUUAUCAGCUUGUUGGUGGGGUAGUGGCUUACCAAGGCUUUGACGGGUAGCCGGCCUGAGAGGGUGACCGGCCACAUUGGGACUGAGAUACGGCCCAGACUCCUACGGGAGGCAGCAGUGGGGAAUAUUGCACAAUGGGCGGAAGCCUGAUGCAGCAACGCCGCGUGCGGGAUGACGGCCUUCGGGUUGUAAACCGCUUUCGCCUGUGACGAAGCGUGAGUGACGGUAAUGGGUAAAGAAGCACCGGCUAACUACGUG
rnacentral:rRNA from 1 species